GCUGGGUAUGGUGGCAAACGCCUGUAAUCCCAGCAUCUAGGAGGCUGUGGCAGGAGGAUUGUGAGUUCAAAGCCAGCCUCAGUAACUUGGUGAGGACCUAAGCAACUCAGUGAGAACCUGUCUCUA
rnacentral:sRNA from 1 species